AUGAAGAGGCUGGCUACUCGGCAGGCAGGUAAAAAUCAAGGGGACCCCAAGAAAAUGGCUCCUCCCCCGAAGGAGGUAGAAGAAGAUAGUGAAGAUGAGGAAAUGUCAGAAGAUGAAGAAGAUGAUAGCAGUGGAGAGGAGGUUAUCAUCCCUCAGAAGAAAGGCAAGAAGGCUACUGCAACCCCAGCAAAGAAAGUGGUGGUUUCCCCAACAAAAAAGGCUGCAGUUGCCACACCUGCCAAGAAAGCAGUUGUCACCCUAGGCAAAAAAGCAGCUGCCAUACCAACUAAGAAGACAGUUACACCAGCCAAAGCAGUCGUGACUCCUGGCAAGAAGGGAGCCACACCAGGGAAGGCAUUGGUAGCAACCUCUGGUAAGAAGGGAGCUGCCACCCCAGCAAAGGGGGCGAAGAACGGUAAGAAUGCCAAGAAGGAAGACAGUGAUGAGGAGGAGGAUGAUGACAGUGAUGAGGAUGAGGAUGAUGAGGAUGAUGAUGAAGAUGAGGAGGAAGAGGAUGAAUUUGAACCAGCAGUGACAAAAGCAGCAGCUGCUACUCCUGCCUCAGAGGACGAGGAUGAUGAAGACGAUGAAGAGGAAGAUGACGAGGAUGAUGAUGAUGACGAGGAAGAUGACUCUGAGGAGGAAGCCAUGGAUACCACACUGGCCAAAGGUAAGAAAGCUUCUGCAAAGGCUAUUCCUGUGAAAGCUAAGAGCGUGGCUGUGGAUGAAGAGGAAGAUGAUGAGGAUGAGGAUGAUGAUGAUGAUGAUGAUGAAGAGGAUGAUGACGAUGAGGAUGACGAAGAGGAGGAGGAAGAGGAGGAGGAAGAGGAAGAGCCUGUCAAAGAAGCAUCUGGAAAACGAAAGAAAGAAAUGGCCAAGCAGAAAGCAGCUCCUGAAGCCAAGAAACAGAAAGUAGAAGCCACAGAGCCAACUACAGCUUUCAAUCUCUUUGUUGGAAACCUGAACUUUAACAAGUCUGCUGCUGAACUAAAAACUGGUAUUAGUGAUGUUUUUGCUAAAAAUGAUCUUGCCGUUGUGGAUGUCAGAAUUGGUAUGACUAGGAAAUUUGGCUAUGUGGACUUUGAAUCUGCUGAAGACCUGGAAAAAGCCUUGGAACUCACUGGCUUGAAAGUCUUUGGCAAUGAAAUUAAACUAGAGAAGCCAAAAGGAAAAGACAGUAAGAAAGAUAGAGAUGCAAGAACCCUUUUGGCCAAAAACCUCCCUUACAAAGUCACUCAGGAUGAAUUAAAGGAAGUGUUUGAAGAUGCUGUGGAUAUCAGAUUAGUCAGCAAGGAUGGAAAGAGUAAAGGGAUUGCUUAUAUUGAAUUUAAGACAGAAGCUGACGCAGAUAAAACCUUUGAAGAAAAGCAGGGAACAGAGAUUGAAGGGCGAUCUAUUUCCCUGUACUACACUGGAGAGAAAGGUCAAAGUCAAGACUACAGAGGUGGAAAGAAUAGCACUUGGAGUGGUGAAUCAAAAACUCUGGUUUUAAGCAAUCUUUCCUACAGUGCAACAGAAGAAACCCUUCAGGAAGUAUUUGAGAAGGCAACUUUUAUCAAAGUGCCCCAGAACCAAAAUGGCAAAUCUAAAGGGUAUGCAUUUAUAGAGUUUGCGUCAUUUGAAGAUGCUAAAGAAGCUUUAAAUUCCUGUAAUAAAAGGGAAAUUGAGGGCAGAGCAAUCAGGCUGGAGUUGCAAGGACCCAGGGGAUCACCUAAUGCCAGAAGCCAGCCAUCCAAAACU